UGGGGAAUAUUGCACAAUGGGCGGAAGCCUGAUGCAGCAACGCCGCGUGCGGGAUGACGGCCUUCGGGUUGUAAACCGCUUUCGCCUGUGACGAAGCGUGAGUGACGGUAAUGGGUAAAGAAGCACCGGCUAACUACGUGCCAGCAGCCGCGGGGAUACGUAGGGUGCGAGCGUUGUCCGGAUUUAUUGGGCGUAAAGGGCUCGUAGGUGGUUGAUCGCGUCGGAAGUGUAAUCUUGGGGCUUAACCCUGAGCGUGCUUUCGAUACGGGUUGACUUGAGGAAGGUAGGGGAGAAUGGAAUUCCUGGUGGAGCGGUGGAAUGCGCAGAUAUCAGGAGGAACACCAGUGGCGAAGGCGGUUCUCUGGGCCUUUCCUGACGCUGAGGAGCGAAAGCGUGGGGAGCGAACA
rnacentral:rRNA from 1 species